ACGCUCGACACCUACGGGAGGCAGCAGUGGGGAAUAUUGCACAAUGGGGGAAACCCUGAUGCAGCGACGCCGCGUGAGCGAAGAAGUAUUUCGGUAUGUAAAGCUCUAUCAGCAGGGAAGAAAAUGACGGUACCUGACUAAGAAGCCCCGGCUAACUACGUGCCAACAGCCGCGGUAAUCUGAGCGGGCUGGCAAGGC
rnacentral:rRNA from 1 species